UUUAACGCUUAAUCCUUUUAUUGUGAAAGGAACGGAGGAAAUCAAAGUAACUGGGGUGAAUCCUUUUUAAAGGUAGGGCUACCCUGGCCCGAAUCCGUCAGCUAACUUCGUAGGCGUGGAAGGGGAA
rnacentral:sRNA from 1 species